UUUCUCUUAUAGAAGAAAAAAAAUUGAUUGGGUAUCAAACUUCUCUUUCCCGACUAUUUGGACUCUGCAGUAGAGCUUCCUGUCUGAAUAAACGUCUUCCGCUAAUGAGGUUUGACCUAAUUCACCAGACAUUUUCAUAAACAAAACUUUUGGAUGAAAAGAGAGUGAUUGAGCUUAUGCUUCUUCCUUUUUCGGCAUUCGAGUACUAUAGUAGAGCUCCCUGUUUGGAUGCCUGUCUCCACUUAAAAUUAACUUAACUCAUCAAACUUGUUUUCCACCUUUG
rnacentral:lncRNA from 1 species